rnacentral:rRNA from 1 species
CCUACGGGAGGCAGCAGUGAGGAAUAUUGGUCAAUGGUCGGGAGCCUGAACCAGCCAAGCCGCGUGAGGGAUGAAGGUCCAGAGUAUCGUAAACCUCUUUUGUCAGGGAACAAAGUCGGGGACGUGUCCCCUGAUGAGUGUACCUUACGAAAAAGCAUAGGCUAACUCCGUGCCGGCACACGCGGUAAUACGGAGGAUGCGAGCGUUAUCCGGAUUUAUGGGGUUAAACGGGUUCGCAGGCGGUCUGUUAAGUCAGGGGUAAAAGCCCGGGGCUCAACCCCGGCCCGCCGUGGAAACUGGCAGUCUCGAGUUGGAGAGAAGUAUGCGGAAUGCGCGGUGUAGCGGUGAAAUGCAUAGAUAUCGCGCAGAACUCCGAUUGCGAAGGCAGCAUGCCGGCUCCACACUGACGCUGAGGCACGAAAGCGUGGGUAUCGAACAGGAUUAGAUACCCGUGUAGUC